GGAAAAAAAAUAGCAAGUGAUAGCAAGAGAGCUUCGAAGUGAGCAAAAACUAGCUCUGGCUGACAGGCACCAUCGACGUCAUCAUCUUUAUAUUAAGGCUCGUCGAUUUAUUUCUUUCUCUGUCUAGGCCUCUCUCUCUCUCUCUCUCUGGGUUUUUUUGGCCCUCUCUUUAUUUUAUUGUUCUGGUUUCAAAAUUCAGUCAACAGAGGAGGUUUGAGUAUGGCGACUCAAUCAUCGGAUCCUCCUCCUCCUUCAAACCCUGCCGAUCAAAAUCCUGGGAAUGUACAGCCAACAAAUGGGAUUCAGCAAGAUGCUGAGGUUGAGGCUAUCAAGCAAAGUCCUCCAUCUGUCUUUGUGAACUCGGAACCAAUGCGAGAGGAACAAGUGCAGAAUGCUGUAAAGUUUCUUUCGCACCCAAAAGUUAGGGGUUCUCCAGUUAUGUAUAGAAGAUCGUUUCUUGAGAAGAAGGGCCUCACAAAGGAAGAGAUAGAUGAAGCUUUUCUUCGUGUGCCGGAUCCAACUCCAAGCACACAGGCAACCAGUUUGAAUCAAGCAGAGGGGCAGGUGAAAUCAACACCAAAUGCUCAGCCACUAGCUUCAGCACAAACUCUGCAGCCUGUAGCAGCUGGUCCUACUGCUGUAAUUUCUUCAGUAGGGACUUUGACUCGAUCUCGGUUUCACUGGUAUCAUGCUGUUUUUGCCGUAGGACUAUUGGCAGUUUCAGGUGCUGGAACAGUUGUGUUAGUUAAGAAUACUGUUAUUCCCAGGCUGAAGUCUUGGAUACGUAAGGUUGUGUUGGAAGAAGAAGAUGACAAUGUGAAGAAAACUAAUUUAAAGCCAAGCUUGGCAGAAGAAGCUGCGGCAGCUGCCAAAGCAGCAGCAGCAGCAGCUGUUGAUGUUGCAAGAGCGAGCCAGGAACUAUUGAAUUCAAAAAAUGAAGAGAAGAGAUACUUCAAGGAAUUUAUGAAAAUGUUAGAUUUGCAAGUACAGGAAAUGAAGUCAAUGAGUACUGCAAUACAUAGAUUGGAAGGUCAAACAGAUAACCGUGUGAGAAACUCUCUUGCUGAUCAAGAAGAUUAUAGAGCCUUAGUUGCAAAUCCAAAGCAAACAUAUACCAAUGGCAAGACAGAGUUUGAUUUGCACUCAGGGGGAUCUUCAUCGCAGCCUGCAUCUGCUGAACCCUCUGCUGCACCACACCCUAAGUCAUAUAUGGAGAUCAUGGAGAUGGUUCGGAGAGGAGAGAGACCUGGCAAUAUCAGGGAUAUCAAUGAUCAACCACCCAAUCCUAGUCAGCAAAUUUCAAAUCCUCGCAUUGCGCCUAGAACUAAGCCAUGGGAGGUUGGUCAAGUCCAAAAUAACUCAAGCCAGGUGCUUCAGUCUCAAGUGAGCGGAGAAGAUUUGAAUUCCAAGGUACAAGACAAUGGUAUCUAUCAGUUUGAUGGUGAGAGCACUACACCCUGGUGGCAGCAGAAAAAUACCGGAAUUGCAGAGAUAGAUAAUGAAGAUGAAGUAAAGGCUGGACUUUAUGGUGGACAAAACAACCAGCAACCAGUUAGGCGCACAUGGGUCCCUCCCCGGCCACCUCCUGUUGUGAUGGCUGAAGCGGCUGAAGCCAUCAGACGACCAAAACAAUCAAUUCAGAAAGAACAAUUGGAAAAUGAUCGAUCUGUGUCUCAUCGAACAGACACGGCUGAUGAGUUGCAAAGGAUAACAAAAAUAUCAGAAUCAGGGGGUGCUGUGGAGAUUAAUGGUGGGGGGUCAGUGCUGAACUCAAGUGAGAUACAGGAGGAGCCAGAACAAAUCCAUGAAGGGAACUAAAGCAGGGUUUGAUUUGCAUGAUCUGCUUGAUACAAAGUACAGUUUGGUGUUUGAAACCACUGCCCGCGAAUAUGUUAGAUCAGCCUGGAGGCCACCCUCUACCUGCCACCUGCCACCUGCUGAGACCAGCAGAAGCUGAAAUUUAGCUAGCAAAAGUUUUAUAGCAUGAGAGCGUGUUCGGCUAUUGUUUUGUAGCUUUUAUUGUUUAGUUUUGAAGCAAAGCAAUUAAGAUAUAUCAGAAAAGUAUUUGAUAAGGAUUUUGAAAA